GCGGGGCGCAGGUGCACGCAGGUUGGCCGCGGGCGCGCGGGGUCCGGCGGGAGUCCCGGGGUGGUCCCCGCGUGGGGCCGGGGGCGUCCGCGCGGGCGGGGCGAGGUCGGGGAGGGCAGCUGCCCGCCCUCCUCGGCACUGGGAGCUUUCGGCUGGUACUGCGGGAGGAGCUCCCGGGUGACCCGCGGGUUCUGAAACCGCCGCUCGGGAGCUCGGGGCCUGCGCGGCGUCUACGGGGCGAGCGAGGGAGAACUGACGCCUUUCGCUCGGAUCCUUCUCCCCUUCCGAGAACCAGAUUGAGGUGGAACUCACGUCACAUAAACCGGGUCGCAAGGCUCAGCUCAGCGGGGCCCCCCCACAGUGUUGCGGGACCAGCACCUUCUCGAGCUCCGGAACAGCUUCUACCCGCGCAGAGCCCGGCCCGUCGGCGGCCGCUCUCCGCGCCCCUCCCGGGCCCUGCAGCCCCCGCCCUGCUCCGCGGAGCAGCCUGUUCUGACCUCCGUUCCAUGGAGCCCUACGUGCUGUGGCUUCUGUGUUCCGGCGCCUUUCGCUUAGAAUCGCGUCUUAAAGGUUCGUCCGCGGUGGAGCGGGGAUCAGGCCCGUGUUCCUUUUCAGGAGUGAAUAAUAUUCCCUGGUAUGGAGACUGCGCUGAGAUAGGACCUGGGCCACCCCCUCUGAUUAUUUCCCGCCCACCCCUUCACUGGCGCCAGCCCCACGGAGACCUCGCAGGUGCCGUGAGAAAGUGGAGAUGAGCAGAGUCUGGACGCAUGCGCGGGGCCGGGAGGUGCCGGCCGCAGCCUGCGCCGUCUCCUAAUGCGGAAAUCUGCACCCAGGGCGGAACUCGCCGGUGUCUUCCGCGCGCGCACUGCACGUGUCGGCAUCCUUUCUAGUGCGCCUGCGCAGCCAGCACCGCCUGCACCUGCGCUGACGCUCGCUGACAGCAGUACCCUCCUGGGAAGCCACGCAGGACCCGUCUUCGGGAGCCCGAGAGCCUCCUUCCCGGGCGCCAGUCUUAAUAAACUUUGUAUGUGUGUGAUGGAGCCUCGCUCUUUUGCCCAGGCUCACUGCAAACUCCGCCUCUCGGGUUCAGGCAAUUCUCCCGCCUCAGCCUCCCUAGUAGCCGGGACUACAGGUGCCCGCCACCACAUCCUGCAAAUUUUUUUUUUUUUUUUUUUUGGUAGAGAUGGGGUUUCACCAUGUUGCCCAAGCUGGUCUCGAACUCCUGACCUCAGGUGAUCCGCCCGCGUUGGCCUCCCAAAGUGCUGGGAUUACAGGCAUGAGCACCACGCCGGCCUUAAUAGACGUUAUCUGGGAGAAGUUUGUCGGGCCUCUUGUCGGUUUCUGUUGCUUGGCAAGAGCCCUGAGGGGGUUUUCUCUGAUUUUC
rnacentral:lncRNA from 1 species